rnacentral:lncRNA from 1 species
GAAACCAUUCAAAAAUGAUUUUUUCCUAUUAAUAAAAUUUUGUAUAAAUCCACAGAAAAGGAUAUUUUAAUGAAAUUAUAAUGCAUGAACCCAAACUUUCAUCAUUCAAGCUUUCCUCAAACUACUUAUCAUUAGCAUUGCCAAACCAGAGCCACUCAUUUUUAUACACAAAGGAACAGGGACUGGAUCUCCUCCAUAAGACAGACGUCACAGAUUUCUGUCCCUUACAAGGAUGAAGACACUAGCAAUGUGCCAAACAAAUUGAAUUUCUGGUCAGCAAUAACACUACUUCCAGAC